CCCCAUUGGCUCGCGCUGCCGGCUCCUAGGAGACGGGGCCUGCUGCAUUGGCGGAGCCCGGAGCCCGGAGCAGCCCGGCCGCUGGUGAUGGUGGUGCUGCUGCUGCAAGCCCAGCCGUAGCUGAGCAAAUUAGGCUGGGCUGGGCCACUCCGGCGCCCGCAGACAGCGAUCAGGUCUGUCCGAAGGUUUGGUCAACUCGAACAUCCAGGAAGGUAGAAGAGUAGUAGAUGUUGCUAGGUGCAUCAAGGUACUGACCUCUCCACCAUCAAAGGCAUCUAAACAAGACAAAGCCUCCAAAGCAACUAGCGUCAUCAAAAACUCACCCACCCUGGCCAAGCUCUUGUAUCGCUACCACCAUUGGGAAGAAGUUAACUGUAACCACUAGGUUCAAGAACCGCUUCUUACCACCAUCCAACACUGUCCUCAGCAACUGCAAACUUCUAUGGACUGUACCUUUGGUUGCGUUAUAGACUUCGGUUUUGCACUAUUAUGGUUAGUAAUUUUACGGUUAUUCAUUUUUCGUUAUGAUUAUAUAUUUAACUGACAUUGCAUUUACGGGCCUGUAAAGUUGCAGCAAGUAAGAAUUUAAUUUUCCUGUUGCCAGGCCAAACGACAAUUAAACUCUUGACAUUUGAUUCAUACAUUGAGCGUAAUUCCUCACAGCAUAAAUAUGUUUAUUUUUUUAAUUGUGCGUUGGUAUUACAAAAUUACGACUAAAAAUGCCAAAAUGUCAUAAAAGUCCAUCUGGUUUGCAAAUAUCCUGUGAGGAAGUAUGCCGGAACCCUUUACAUAGACUUGAGAGAUACACCCAUUCCACAUUAAAUAAAUUACUCUUAUUAACUUGAGGAUGGACAACAUGAUAUUUAUUGUCCAGUCUUAUGUGUUGGCCACAUUCCACCUGGCUUGCUAGAUGCAAUUCAAGGAUGAGAAUCAUAGCCUCCUUUAACAGAGAUGUUUACUCGGUGAUGUUAAAUGUUAGAAUUAUUAUUGAGUGCUCCUUACAAUUUAUGUAUCCUUGCAGAAUAGAAAAUUCAACUUGUUUAAAAAAAACUGACAUGAUUUUGCUGGGCUGGAAGUAUAGGGCUAACAAAAUAAGAUUGAGGGACAUUGCAGAUACCAAAGUGAACAGUGCUUGGAACUCCCCUGAUAGCCAGCAGUGGCUAGAGUUUUCUUUCUUGGAGUUGAGUGGUUUGAUUGAUUUGGGGUGGAGAGGAGAAGAAGAGAAGCCUCCAAGUGAGGUGAAAAUAACAAAAAUCAAGUAACAUUUGUGACCUGUGAAAUAUGUGAGACUGUCAGCAGCUUUGUUUCAGGCACUAUGAGCCAAAGAUUUUUGGUCCGCAUUCAUUAUUUGAGAAGCAGAAGGCCGUGGCCUUGAUCUCGUAGUUGAAGUCGCAUGUAAUGCCUGUGCAUUUCCACUCUGCACAGUGAAGGUCACCUUUGCAGCUAGCUGAAAAUGGUUUAUUUUACAAACUAUAGCAGAAUGCACCAAUGAUGGGGAAAGAGUAAUGAGUUGCUCAAUAAUUAUUCCUAUCAACACCUUAGUCACGUCAAGAUGUGAUUUGAUUGAUAGAAUCAUACUUAUUUUUUAUUUUUAGAACAUGACCUGGUAACAUUGACUUGACUCAAGGUUGAAUACAGUAUAUAGCUGAAAUUCCCAUUGCUAAAGCAUCCUCUUAAAAUUUCUACAAUUUCUUAGGUUACUACGUCCACGGGGGAUAAAAAUCUUGCUACUGUUUUACGAUUUUGAAGAAUGGAGCAAUUUUUGAGGACGUUUUUCCUUCAACAUUUAUUUAGUUCAGAAAUAAAUUGAUUUUGGGUCAUUUUUAAUAACUUAUUAAUUGAGGGUGGUUGGCCUUGUGAUGCAGUCCAUGGAGUUUGCCCCAAUCUUACCAGCAUAUUCACACAAAAAAUGCUAAUAAUAAGAUGCCAGUUUACCUUAACAUAAUUAGCCUAUUAAUCAAUUUAUAUAUUUUAUGCUAAUUGUUUUUAAAUCAUUUUUUUAGAAUUAAUUCUGGUAUUUCUUCAAUUUAUUAUGUGGACCUGAUCAUUUUACAUUAACCAGGAACUUGGUUAGUUAAUAUAGUGAUUUGUUAACAGCCUAAUAUUUUAGAUAUUGCCAUUUCGUUUUUUUUUAAAUUUAAUUUCUAUUUUCCUCAUGUCAAAACAAACAAUACAUUAGACAGAUGGUGAUACAAGUAACUGCAGUUGCUGAAAUAUUGAGCAAAACAUAAAGUGCUAGAGGGACCCAGCUGGUCAGGCAGCAUCGAUACAGGGAAUGGAAUUGUGACGUUUUGGGUCGGGACCCUUCUUCAGAUUGAUUGGAAUGGGGCGUGAAAGCUGGAAAAGAGAGGUGGGGGUGGGACAAAGCCUAGCAUGGUGGAUAUGGUGAGCAGGGUUUGAUUGACAGAUGGGUGGUGUAAAUAACAAAGGCUAUAGGUGAAAAGAAGACAAAGGGUGUCAGAGUAUAGGAGGAGUGAAAUGUAAAGCUGAAGGGAGGGAUGGGGACCGAGAGGAGAAAGAGAGAGAUAAAAGGUAAUUGCAAUCUUGGGGAUGGGAAAUGGGUGUACGAAGGAGGGCAUUGGAGCAGGGUGAUGGGAGAGGGGGGAGGGUGGAAUGGGAGCAUACCAGAGUGGAGGUAUGGAAAUGUAAGAGGGUUGUUAACCAUUUUAACUCUCUUUACCAUUCCCAUACCAACCUUUCUUUCCUUGACCUCCUUCAUUGCCAUAGUGAGACCACAUCCAAACUGGAGGAACAGCAUACAACUAAUAGCAUUGACAAAAUGAGUUGUUUCUUACAACCAUAUAUGUGAUGAUUUCUGAGAAAUCGUGUCCUUUCAAUAUGUACAUAUAUUUCCAGGACCUAGCUGUUUAAAAUGUUUCUGUCUGACGUCAAAACCUUUUCAUAAAUAAAAUCAACUGGAUUCACAAUU